CGUGGUGGUGGUAGUAGUAGUAAUGAUGAUGGUAGUGAUAGCAGUUUAGUGAUGGUGGUGGUAGUAGUAGUUGUAAUGAUGAUGGUAGUGACAGCACAGUAGUAAUGAUGAUGGUAGAGAUAGCAGUUUAGUGAUGGUGGUGGUGGUGGUAGUAGUGGUAAUGAUGAUGGUAGUGAUAGCAGUUUAGUGAUAUGGUGGUAGUAGUAGAAUUGAUGAUGGUAGUGAUAGCAGUUUAGUAAUGGUGGUGGUAGUAGUAGUAAUGAUGAUGGUAUUGAUAGCAGUUAAGUGAUGAUGGUAGUAGUAGUAACGAUGAUGGUAAUGAUAGCAGUUUAGUUAUGAUGGUGGUGGUAAUAGUAAUAAUGAUGAUGGUAGUGAUAGCAAUUUAGUGAUGGUGGUGGUGGUAGUAGUAAUGAUGAUGGUAUUGAUAGCAGUUAAGUGAUGAUGGUAGUAAUAGUAAUGAUGAUGGAAGUGAUUGCAGUUUAGUGAUGGUGGUGGUAUUAGUAGUAGAAUGAUGAUGGUAGUGAUAGCAGUUUAGUGAUGGUGGUUGUAGUAGUAGAAUGUUCAUGGUAGUGAUAGCAGUUUAGUGAUGGUGGUGGUAGUAGCAGUAAUGAUGAUGGUAGUGAUAGCAGUUUAGUGAUGUGGUGGUAGUAGUAGAAUUGAUGAUGGUAGUGAUAGCAAUUUAGUGAUUGUGAUGGUGGAAGAAGUAGUAAUGAUGAUGGUAGUGAUAGCAGUUUAGUGAUGGUGGUGGUAGUAGUAGUGAUGUUGAUAUUCAUAGCAGUUUAGUGAUGGUGGUAGUAGUAGUAAUGAUGAUGGUAGUGAUAGCAGUUUAGUGAUGGUGGUGGUGGUAGUAUUAGUAGUAAUGAUGAUGGUAGUGAUACCAGUUUAGUGGUGGUGGUAGUGGCAGUAAUGAUGAUGGUAGUGAUAGCAGUUUAGUGAUGUGGUGGUAGUAGUAGAUUUGAUGAUGGUAGUCAUAGCAGUUUAGUGAUGUUGAAAGAAGUAGUAAUGAUGAUGGUAGUGAUAGCAUUUUAGUGAUGUUAGUGGUAGUAGUAGUAAUGAUGUUGGUAUUCAUAGCAGUAUAGUGAUGGUGGUAGUAGUAGUAAUGAUGAUGGUAGUGAUAGCAGUUUAGUGAUGGUGGUGGUGGUAGUAUUAGUAGUAAUGAUGAUGGUAGUGAUACCAGUUUAGUGACGGUGAAGGUAAUAGUAAUGAUGAUGGUAGUGACACCAGUUUAGUGGUGGUGGUAGUAGUGGUAAUGAUGAUGGAAGUGAUAGCAGUUUAGUGAUAGUGCUGGUAUUAGUAUUAAUGAUGAUGGUAGUAACAGCAGUUUAGUGAUGGAUGUGGUGUUAGUAGUAGUAAUGAUGAUGGUAGUGAUAGCAGUUUAUUAAUGGUAGUGGUGGUAGUAGUAAUGAUGAUGGUAGUUAUAGCAGUUUAGUGAUUGUGGUCGUAGUAGUAGUAGUAGUAAUGAUUAUGGAAGUUAUAGCAGUUUAGUGAUGGUGGUGGUAGUAGCAGUAAUGAUGAUGGUAGUGAUAGCAGUUUAGGUAUGGUGGUGGUAAUAGAAGUAAUGAUGAUGGUAGUGAUAGCAGUUUAGUGAUGGUGAUGUAGUAGUAGUAGUAAUGAUGAUGGUAGUAAUAGCAUUUUAGUGAUGGAAGUGGUGGUAAUAGUAAUAAUGAUGAUGGUAGUGAUUGCAGUUUAGUGGUGGGGGUAGUAGUAGUAAUGGUGAUUGUAGUGAUACCAGUUUAGUGACGGUGGU
rnacentral:lncRNA from 1 species